UACAGAGGUCCCAAGCGUUGUUUGGAUUCACUGGGCGUAAAGGGUGCGUAGGUGGCGAGGUAAGUUUGAUGUGAAAUCUCCGAGCUCAACUCGGAAACUGCAUUGAAUACUAUCUUGCUAGAGGGUUGGAGGGGAGACUGGAAUUCUCGGUGUAGCAGUGAAAUGCGUAGAUAUCGGGAGGAACACCAGUGGCGAAGGCGGCGAUCUGGGUUGAUACUGACGCUGAGGUGCGAAAGCGUGGGGAGCGAACAGG
rnacentral:rRNA from 1 species